rnacentral:rRNA from 1 species
UACAGAGGUCUCGAGCGUUAGGCGGAAUCACUGGGCUUAAAGCGUGUGUAGGUGGAUCGUUAAGUACCUUGUGAAAUCCCACGGCUUAACCGUGGAACUGCUUGGUAUACUGGCGGUCUUGAGCCACUUAGGGGCUACCGGAACAAAUGGUGGAGCGGUGAAAUGCGUAGAUAUCAUUUGGAACGCCAAUGGUGAAAACAGGUAGCUGGGAGUGUGCUGACACUGAGACACGAAAGUCAGGGGAGCAAACGGG